rnacentral:rRNA from 1 species
ACAGAGGGUGCGAGCGUUAAUCGGAAUUACUGGGCGUAAAGCGCGCGUAGGCGGCUUUGCAAGUCGGGUGUGAAAUCCCCAGGCUUAACCUGGGAACUGCAUUCGAGACUGCAUUGCUAGAGUAUGGGAGAGGGAAGUGGAAUUUCCGGUGUAGCGGUGAAAUGCGUAGAUAUCUGGAGGAACGCCGGCGGCGAAAGCGACUCUCUGGUCUGUAACUGACGCUGAGGUGCGAAAGCUAGGGGAGCAAACAGGA